rnacentral:rRNA from 1 species
GAUGAACGCUGGCGGCGUGCCUAAUACAUGCAAGUCGAGCGAACGGACGAGAAGCUUGCUUCUCUGAUGUUAGCGGCGGACGGGUGAGUAACACGUGGAUAACCUACCUAUAAGACUGGGAUAACUUCGGGAAACCGGAGCUAAUACCGGAUAAUAUUUUGAACCGCAUGGUUCAAGAGUGAAAGACGGUCUUGCUGUCACUUAUAGAUGGAUCCGCGCUGCAUUAGCUAGUUGGUAAGGUAACGGCUUACCAAGGCAACGAUGCAUAGCCGACCUGAGAGGGUGAUCGGCCACACUGGAACUGAGACACGGUCCAGACUCCUACGGGAGGCAGCAGUAGGGAAUCUUCCGCAAUGGGCGAAAGCCUGACGGAGCAACGCCGCGUGAGUGAUGAAGGUCUUCAGAUCGUAAAACUCUGUUAUUAGGGAAGAACAUAUGUGUAAGUAACUGUGCACAUCUUGACGGUACCUAAUCAGAAAGCCACGGCUAACUACGUG